rnacentral:rRNA from 1 species
GCCGGCGGCCCACGAGGGGCAGGCCCCCCACCCGGGGGGCCUGAAAACAACCCCCAUUAACGAACCCCCCCGGGGGUGCCCCUUUUUCAGCAAAAAAGAAGAAGCCUCCCAGGGAGGUAAGAGUAGCUAAGCAAAUAAUGUCCAAAAUUAUUGAGAGUAAAGAGCUCGAAAGUGGUUCGUCACGUCGGAUGUGAAAAUCUGGGGCUUAACCCCAGACCUGCAUUCUAUACGGGCGAGCUAGAGUGUGGUAAGGGAGACUGGAAUUCCUGGUGUAUCGAUGGAAUGCUCAAAUAUCAGGAGGAACACCAAUGGCGAAGGCAUGUCUCUGGGCCAUUACUGACACUGACGAACGAAAGCGUGGGGAGCGAACUUGAUUAGAUAGCCUGGAAGUCCACGCCGUAAAGGGGGGGGACUAUUUGUGGCAAACCUUCCACUGUUUCUGCGACGCAACU